rnacentral:misc_RNA from 1 species
GAUGAAGAACGCAGCGAAAUGCGAUAAGUAAUGUGAAUUGCAGAAUUCAGUGAAUCAUCGAAUCUUUGAACGCACAUUGCGCCCGCUAGUAUUCUGGCGGGCAUGCCUGUCCGAGCGUCAUUUCAACCCUCAAGCCCCCGGGCUUGGUGUUGGGGAUCGGCGAGCCUCCGCGCCCGCCGUCCCCUAAAUCUAGUGGAGGUCUCGCUGUAGCUUCCUCUGCGUAGUAGCACACCUCGCACUGGGAAACAGCGCGGCCACGCCGUUAAACCCCCAACUUCUGAACGUUUGACCUCGGAUCAGGUAGGAAUACCCGCUGAACUUAAGCAUAUCAAUAAGCGGAGGA